CAAGAGGAGUCAGCAGGUGAAUGGUGGUUGUCUUUACCAGAAAGCUUUACUACUGCCCCUCGCCCCGGCCCCAAGUGGACAGCGGCGGCCCCCUGUAAUUGUGGGUCUUCUGAGAAAGAUGCUUCUUCUGGGUCAUUGUCUCUUCAUGGUGCUCUCAAUGUAUGACUCCAGCAGGAAGAUGGUUUCGUCUACCUGGAUCUCACUGGCAUCCAACCUGAAAAGAUGAAAGCAUUUCACUGUGGAAGCUGCUGAGGGUGCAGAAGAUAGAGCCUCUGUCCUGGGGGAGGUUACAGUAUAACUUGCAACCAGGAGGAAGGACAGCGCAUGUAAAGACAUAGGUAAAAGGUUGGAAGAUUUAAUACUGUUAAGUUGGCAGUACUCCCCAAAGCAAUCUACAGAUUCAAUGCGAUCCCUAUUAAGGUAAGUGGUGAGGAAUGGAAGGAAAGGAAGAUGGAGCCAGGCUGCUAGGAAACUGUGAAGGCUCGUCAGUCAUGCCGGUGAGUCUGGCCUUUACACUGUACAUGUAAAGAAUUAAAUCACCUGAAGUAGGAGAGUGAUGUUAUCAAUCAUUUUAAAGAUCAUACUUUUGAAAGCACUCUGAGAUGAUUUGGGGGGUCAACGUGAAAGCCUAGGAGAGACAAGCUGAAAGCCUGCAUGGGGGCCAAGAUGAAAGCCAGAUGUGAGACACAUUACUGAAGUAAGAUUUAGAAUGCUUGGUGAGAACAGAGUAACACUGCAGAGAAGCAGCUGAGGAUGUCUUCAGAAUUGCUGGUUCAGAAAAGUAGGUGGAUUAAAUUCAUUAACCGAGCUGGGAAAGAAGACAGUGAGCUCAGGUUCAUUUGUGUUAGUUGGAGGGGUUGCAGAAUGUUGGGAUGGACCUGUCUGGAAGGCAUGUUGAAAUACAGGUCUGAAGUUAAGCUUACUUGUUACACUUGAUCUUAGCCAAAAGGCCGAGAGGCGAUAAGCUUACUUGUUGACAUUGCGCUUCAGGGUCUCCAGCUGCUGACGCUCAGGGGCUGUGAUCAUCUCCUCUAUUUCUUGCAGCUGUGCUUCCUCUGCACCUGUGGCUUGCACAGAUGCAAUGAUGGCUUCUACCCUCUGAGACUUUUCGAGCAGACGCCU